AUUGAACGUUGGCGGCAUGCCUUACACAUGCAAGUCGAACGGCAGCGCGGACUUCGGUCUGGCGGCGAGUGGCGAACGGGUGAGUAAUGUAUCGGAACGUACCAUUCAGUGGGGAUAACGCAGCGAAAGUUGCGCUAAUACCGCAUAUUCUGUGCGCAGGAAAGCAGGGGAUCGCAAGACCUUGCGCUGAUUGAGCGGCCGAUAUCAGAUUAGCUAGUUGGUGAGGUAAAGGCUCACCAAGGCGACGAUCUGUAGCGGGUCUGAGAGGAUGAUCCGCCACACUGGAACUGAGACACGGUCCAGACUCCUACGGGAGGCAGCAGUGGGGAAUUUGGACAAUGGGCGCAAGCCUGAUCCAGCCAUGCCGCGUGAGUGAAGAAGGCCUGGUGUAAG
rnacentral:rRNA from 1 species